CCCCCUAGACCUGCCCUACUGUGCCAUCAUUCUCAUGUGCCUGGCUAUGCUCCUGGGGCUCAUCCUUUGCCUUCUGUCCUGCUUCAUGUUCCAGGUCCAUCCACAAGAGUAGCACCUAAGCCUACCCUGGAACCCACAGGGCCUGGAGGACGCUCCAAAGCUUCUUUGCUGACCACAUCUCCGCCAGCCACAUCCCCAGGUCCAUCAGUUUUCUC